AUCAGAAAUCCCAAAACAGAGACCCUAUUAGAAACCCGGUAGAAGAUGAAGAUGAGCGUAGUCGAGGCUAUCUGCAACAAGUACGACCGAUACGACAUCGAUAAGAAGAAGGACUCUAACGUCUCCGGCGACUAUGUCUUCGCUCGCCUCGAUCUACUCCACCGUCGAGUCCGACAUUGAAGCUGUUCUUCAGGAGACUCCGCUUCGAGCUGCUGUUAAUUAUGGCGAAGCUUCCGAGUGUUGAGAUUAAUCCGCAAUUCAUAACAUUUACGCAUGUUACUAUGGAGUCCAAUAAGUACACAUGUGUUUGGGAAACAAUGCCGUAGAAUAGUAUUGUGAUUAUUGAUAUGAGUGUGCCGAAUCAACGCCGACUCUGCACUUAUGAAUCCAAACUCCCAAAUCCUUGCUUUGAAAGGGAUCCACUGAAUGUCAAAAUAUUCCUCAAAAUGCAUAGGUCUGAUUAUGCUAAAAGAUGGCUGAAGGAAAUGCAAAAGAUUGAUAGGGACCACACCUUAACUCAACUUGAAACAGCAUGGCA